rnacentral:tRNA from 1 species
UGGGCUAUGGUGUAAUGGUAACACGUCAGAUUCUGGUCCUGUCUUUCCAGGUUCGAAUCCUGGUAGCCCAA